AUGAUACAGGCAGGAUGGGAGUACAAUGCAGGCAGGACGGGAGUAUGAUGAUGGCAGGAUCAGAGUAUGAUGCAGGCAGGACGCGACCAUGAUGCUGGCAGAAUGUGAGUAUGAUGCAGGCAGGAUGCGAGUAUGAUACAGUUAGGAUGUGAGUAUGAUGCAGGCAGGAGGCA